AACCCAAGAUGACUGGUGUCUUUACAGGAAGAGGAGAGACAGAUGCAGAGAGGAGACUCCCAUGUGGUAAAGGAGACACAGGGAACUUGUAGUGGCAGAGGCAGAGAUUGGAGGGAAGCACCGGGGAGCCCAAGGAAACUAGGAGAGAAGGAAGGAAGGAUGGUCUCCCGAUGCUCCCAGGAAGCCCAGCCCAGACAUCUGCAGUGUAGACACAGACUCCACAAUGUGACAGAAUGUGUUUCUAUUGCUGCCAGCUACCCCGUUUGUGACCAUUUGUUACGGCAGCCCCAGGAAAUGAGUGCGGUCUAUUUUUACCUGUAUCUUGAGUCUUCGUCUGGGUUCAUGCCUGAUUGCACCCUAGCUUAUAUGUGAUUGCUCAUCUCUGGGGAUUGCCCACCUCUGCCCCCCGAAAAAGAACCAGGCCAUCAAAUGAAUGAGGUCAACCAAGAAUCACAGUGCUGUUCAUUUCAGACAUGGGAGCAGAAGACAAGAUUUCAGACUCAUACACACGGCGACCCCAUGCCCGACUUCAAAAAAACAGUGAUUCAUCCAGACACCAAAGCUCAGCAGCUCAGAGUCAACCUCAAAUAUAGUCAAAGCUCACCAAGUGCUCUCCCAAGAAAAAUAGAACAUAAGUGCCAGAUGACCUGCGGUAAAGACUCUUCUUCCAGAGAGUGGCUGGACUGUCCUGAUUUCAUCGCACCUACAUUAGCGUGUCAACAGGCCCUUGCAAUUCCCAACGAUCCCACUGGGCUGCUUUAUCAUUGAUUACCUGUCCAGUGCCACACAUUUCUACAAAUGCACUCUCUUUUCUUUACGGCUGCAAUGCAGGACCAUUAAAAUCGGGUGCAUAUUUUUAGGGACGUGCCUAUCCCAUAUACUUCUUGCUCCCUCACAUAGAAGGAAAUCUGUAGAAUAACACCUCCAACUGAGCCUCUCUUCCUCCAACUCUUCUGCUCCGCAGCCCAUGGAGGAUGGAUAGGGCCAUCGUUGGAGAAACAGCGUGUGAGACAUGGCUUCUUCACGAUGACUGCGAGGCUCAGCCCCCCGAUGUUGGGGGCCCAAGCCGCCAUGACUCCAUGAACUUUUUCAUUCUCAAAGUUGCAAUGAAUGAAAAGCCUUCUCCAACCUCGAGUAGGGGAACUAACUGAGUCUUGGAACAUAAAAAGCAAUUCCUGGCUUUAUUCUUACUGCUGUCAACGUGGUUUAUGCAAAAACACAGGGUGGGAUUUAUAAAAAUGUGUCUAAAACCUAAUCUCUGUGCUGAGCAGUUGGGGAGAUUGAAACAAUUUACGUCCCAUCUCUUUCAACGUUUGUCCAUGUAUUUAAAUGCUUUUGGGGGGAUUGCAUCACUUUCAGCUUUUAUCCAUUUAGAUGCUUUUGAGGGUGGGGGGUCUUCUCCUAUUUUGCUUCCAAAUGGGUAACGUGCAUGAAGACUAACAAACACAGUGUCCAUAUCAUUGUCCCCAUAACCCAGCCACAGAUUAUGUAGACUCCAUACAGAAGAACAGCUGAUGGAUGACAGAAAAGCAAGGAUUCAUGACUCGGUUUUUAGGGAUGUGGGGCUGGCACGCUCCUUGAGAUAAUUUCCGCCUAUCGAGCAAACUCCACAUAAGAAAGCGUUGUAUCCAUGGCACUGACUUCUUCGCGAAAGGAAGCAGAAGACCUUAUAAUACCUCCAUCCCCCAACUUUGUAAGGCCGUCAUCCAAAGAAGGGUCUGGAGCACCAUUACCCUCAAAGCACUAAGCAUGGAGAACCAUACAUUGUCCUAUGAUAUGGUUGAUCCCAUUUACCAUUUACCGCACAACAAAAUAUAUAUCAAAAUAUGUAUCAUAUCAAUAAAUA